rnacentral:rRNA from 1 species
GACGAACGCUGGCGGCGUGCCUAAUACAUGCAAGUCGAACGGUCUUUUCUAUGGAAGCUUGCUUCCACUGAGAAGAUAGUGGCGAACGGGUGAGUAACACGUGGGUAACCUGCCCAUAAGAGGGGGAUAACAUCCGGAAACGGGUGCUAAUACCGCAUAGGUUUCUCGAUCGCAUGAUCGAGAAAGGAAAGACGGCCUUUGUGCUGUCGCUUCUGGAUGGACCCGCGGCGUAUUAGUUAGUUGGUGAGGUAACGGCUCACCAAGACGAUGAUACGUAGCCGACCUGAGAGGGUGAUCGGCCACAUUGGGACUGAGACACGGCCCAAACUCCUACGGGAGGCAGCAGUAGGGAAUCUUCCGCAAUGGACGAAAGUCUGACGGAGCAACGCCGCGUGAGUGAAGAAGGUUUUCGGAUCGUAAAACUCUGUUGUCAGAGAAGAACAAGUCGGAGAGUAACUGCUCCGGCCUUGACGGUAUCUGACCAGAAAGCCACGGCUAACUACGUGCCAGCCGCCGCGGUAAAAC